rnacentral:tRNA from 1 species
UCCAUGGUGGUCUAGUUGGCUGAGAUUCUGUGCUCCCAAGACAGAAGGCAUGGGUUCAAUCCCCAGCCAGUGAA